UGGUUUUAGCCGAGUAAAGAAACGUCCGUGAGGAAAACGCCGCCACGCGAAGACUCUACCAUACGAUAUUGCGAACAGUCGCGAAGGAGUGACGGACUCGCAUUAUCGUACUGGUUCGCUCGAGUCGGCGGAGCGGCUGACGUGAAAUGAGCAUUUAAUCGUUCAUGCGUGCGCACGCACGGCGCCAGUGAGAGCUCUCCGCCGUCGCCGCCGCCGCCACCGCUCUGUGAGCGCGAGUAAACGCGAGAGCAACAUCCGUAGAGACAAGUGAGAAAAAAACAUGUCGAAAACCGCUGAUAGACAGAGCUACGCGCAAACUUACAAGCUCGUGGUCGUGGGUGGGGGUGGUGUCGGGAAAUCGGCGAUUACGAUACAAUUCAUUCAAAGUUAUUUCGUGACCGAUUAUGAUCCCACGAUCGAGGACUCGUACACGAAGCAGUGCGUCAUCGACGAUGCACCGGCUAAGCUUGACAUAUUGGAUACUGCUGGCCAGGAAGAAUUUAGUGCAAUGCGUGAACAAUACAUGAGAAGUGGCGAGGGAUUCCUACUUGUGUUUGCUGUCACUGAUCAUUCAUCUUUUGAUGAGAUAUUAAAGUUUCAUAAACAGAUACUUCGAGUCAAGGAUCGAGACGAGUUUCCUAUGUUAAUGGUCGGCAAUAAAGCAGAUUUGGACCUUCACAGAAGCGUAUCCGUUGAAGAGGCACAAAAUAUGGCACGUCAAUUAAAAAUCCCAUAUAUAGAGUGCAGUGCGAAACUUCGAAUGAAUGUUGAUCAAGCUUUUCACGAAUUGGUACGAAUCGUCAGAAAGUUUCAACUAUCGGAGCGGCCACCACUUAAACCGAAUUAUAAGAAGAAUAAAAAGAAGUGUUGCAUGCUGUAAUACCAAAAUAUUGAACCUGCCAGUCAACUUUAUACUAAUUGGGCCAUAGUUUUCACGAAAUUUAUCCGAAAUUGUUAAAAGUGUACAAGGAUGCAUCACCUUCACUUUCCACUGUGAAAAAAUGGGCUGCUCUUUUUAAAUCUGGUCGUACAAGCCUCGGAGAUGAUCCACGCAAAGGUCGUCCAAAAACUGCUACAACACCACAAAACAUUCAACAAGUCCAUGAUAUGGUGUUAGAUGAUCGACGAGUGAAAAUGCGUGAAAUAGCUGAGGCCAUAAGCAUCUCAAAAGAACGAAUUGGAAAUAUUUUGCAUGAAGAAUUACAUAUGAGAAAGCUUUGUGCGAGAUGGGUGCCGCAUUCACUAACAAUUGACCAAAAACGCAUUCGAAUGCGUAUUUCUCAAGCGUGUUUGAAUCGUUUUAAGCAAAAUAAAAUGGAUUUCAAGCAUCGUUUCAUAACUGUUGAUGAAACUUGGAUCCACUACUAUACACCAGAGCAAAAAGAACAGUCGAAACAAUGGAUUGAAGCCGGUGGUAGUGUACCAAAGAAGGCAAAGACGGCAGUUCCAUCAGCAGGAAAGGUUAUGGCAACGGUUUUUUGGGAUUACAAAGGUGUUUUGUUGAUCGAUUAUCUUCAGAAAGGUAAAACAAUUAACUCGGAAUAUUAUUGUAACCUUUUGGAUCUAUUGGAUGCAAAAAUUCAUGAGAAAAGACCUACUUUAAAGAACAAAAGAAUCGUUUUCCAUCAAGACAAUGCAAGUGUUUACACAAGUGUUUUGAUAAUGGCGAAAUUCAACGAAUUAAAGUACGAAUUGCUUGAACAUCCAGCGUAUUCACCAGAUUUGGCUCCCUCUGACUAUUAUCUGUUUCCAAACCUGAAAAAAUUCCUGGCUGGAAAACAUUUUAUAUCAAAUGAUGAAGCUAUUGCAGCCGUGAAUGGAUAUUUUGCUGAUCUUCCGGAAUCACACUUUAAUGAUGGUAUUGAAUUAUUGGAAAAACGUUGGAAUAAAUGUAUUAAAGUUUCAGGAGAUUAUAUUGAAAAAUAAAAUAUAUUUAAUGGCAAAAAAAUUUUCUUUCAUUAGGCCGAGAAAUUUUCAGACUGCCUAUGUACUAUAUUUUACUAAAAAUUCUCUUUGUGUACUACCAGAUAUGAUGCCAAGAAGCCACAGUUUAUAAUUAUUUGUAAUUAUUAUUUGUAAUUACUAUAAAUAUUGCUUGAUAUAUUGCAGUCUUGAAAACUUAUGACUUGCUUUAUUGUACAGUACUUUUUGACUAGCUCUGUCAUAGAAAAGAGUUUAAGAAAUCAAUUUGACAAAGACAGUCAAUUAUGUUUAUAGUAUAUAAUAGUUGAAAUUUCAUGCUGUUAAAAUAAUGUCAAAUGGGGCCAAUAACAUUUUUAAUGCACAUGAUCUUGUAAUUAAUGAUAUCUCAAGUAUAUAUUCCACGAAAAUUCUGAUUUAUAUGCUACAUUACAUGUAAUAUUUAAUAUUUUCUAAAGUCAAUACACAAUAAUCAUAAUGUCCUUUUAAAUUGUUCGUGCAAUUAUAUGUUAUUGUUUAUACGCAGAUAUAAAAAGUAAUUAAUUAAAAAACCUAAAAAAUAAAAUUAAUGAUUUAUAUAUCUCUAUGAAGCCCUGUAUGGUAUCAUCUCUAUUAUAUUAUAUAGAAACAAAGUUAUACAAAACAAUGUUCUAAUCCUUAAUGGGUUUCUAUUGGAUGAUUAACACGAUGACUUGGAAAACAUAUUUUGUUCCCUUUCUCUGUGCCUAUGUUUUAAUAAGCUAUAUGUUUAUUGAGUGAUACUUGUAAUAAUUUUAUCUAGUACUCGUGAUAAAAAAAAUAGUUAUUUUCGUGGAGAUAUAAGAAAUGUGUUCAAUUAGAUUCGAUCUCACCAACAAUGAAAUAUUUUUAAUACGUUAAAAUUCUCCCCCAUCUGCCGAAGUCUGUUUCAUUGUUGGUGAUACCGGUCGCAAAAUGUACUAAUAACGAUACUAAUGAUUAACAUUAAUUUCAUUAAUAAUUAUAUGUAUGUAAUAAUAAUAUAUUAUAUAUAUAUAUAUAUAUAUAAGGUAGACAGGAAGAUCGUUAUUGGUGGUUAAAUUAGUAAGCUGACGAUAAUAAAUAUGCAAUUUGUAUAUACGUACAAUAUCUCAAAAAUGGAUAUUUCGGAAUUUUGUGUAAAAUGGUUAUGUUAAAUAUUUUUAUUUUUUUUUGUACGAAUUCUCAGUUGAUACUGCUAAUAAUCGAUCAUCCAAUAUUUAAGGAUAACUUUCAUCAAAUCCCGAUUGAUUUAAUUUAAUUGAAAUUCUUAACUUAAUUUCUUCUCUGACAACUUUAGCUGGUGACUCUGCUAGCUAAACGUCAAUUAGAUCAAUCGGAGCUUGGUUAGGAAAGUCACUUUAAGCCUACCAGAAAUGAUAAAUUGUAUCUUACAAAUCGCGAAGUCCCACACCACAAUUGGUGCCGCAAUUAACAAUUAAUUUAUACGAGCGUGUAUUUCUUUCAAAAGAUAUACUUAUAAUAAUUCGCGAAGCGCCAUGCCUUGAAUAAAAAGUUCCAUUUAUUUUUAUAACUGAAUAUUUAUAUAUUUGUAAAAAUAAAAUGUCUAUAUAUACAUAUACGCCGACUGAUUGUUAAGUAUAACAUAUGUUUGUUAAAUAACUUAUGCAUAAAGCAAAUAAUACGAUGAGUAUCGACUA